GAUGAAGAACGUAGUGAAAUGCGAUACGUAGUGUGAAUUGCAGAAUUCAGUGAAUCAUCGAAUCUUUGAACGCACAUUGCACCUCUCGGUAUUCCGGGAGGUAUGCCUGUUCGAGCGUCAUUUGUACCCUCAAGCUCUGCUUGGUGUUGGGUGUUUGUUCCGCCUCUGUGUGUGAACUCGCCUCAAAACAAUUGGCAGCCGGCGUACUUGUUUCGGAGCGCAGCACAUUUUGCGAUCCAGAUCAACGUACAGCGGCAUCCUAGAAGCCUUAUUUAACGCUCUUGACCUCGGAUCAGGUAGGGAUACCCGCUGAACUUAAGCAUAUCAAUAAGCGGAGGA
rnacentral:misc_RNA from 1 species